UACCAGCACCCCGAGUGGUCGGGACGUUUAUUGGGCCUAAAGCCUCCGUAGCCGGUUCUACAAGUCUUCCGUUAAAUCCACCUGCUUAACAGAUGGGCUGCGGAAGAUACUAUAGAGCUAGGAGGCGGGAGAGGCAAGCGGUACUCGAUGGGUAGGGGUAAAAUCCGUUGAUCCAUUGAAGACCACCAGUGGCGAAGGCGGCUUGCCAGAACGCGCUCGACGGUGAGGGAUGAAAGCUGGGGGAGCAAUCCGG
rnacentral:rRNA from 1 species